rnacentral:rRNA from 1 species
GCAGGGAAUUUUCCGCAAUGGGCGCAAGCCUGACGGAGCAACGCCGCGUGGGGGAGGACGCCCUUCGGGGUGUAAACCUCUGUUCGGGGGGACGAGGAAGGACGGUACCCCCGGAGCAAGGUCCGGCUAACUACGUGCCAGCAGCCGCGGUAAGACGUAGGGACCGAGCGUUGUCCGGAGUUAUUGGGCGUAAAGCGCGCGCAGGUGGCCGCGUUAGCCUGGCGUGAAAGCCCCCGGCUCAACCGGGGAGAGUCGUCGGGGACGGCGUGGCUUGAGGGCGACAGGGGUCGGUGGAAUGCCCGGUGUAGUGGUGAAAUGCGUAGAGAUCGGGCGGAACACCCGUGGCGAAGGCGGCCGGCUGGGUCGCUUCUGACACUGAGGCGCGAAGGCGUGGGGAGCGAACGGGAUUAGAAACCCGAGUAGUCC